rnacentral:rRNA from 1 species
CUGAAGACUCUACUUGACUAGCUGAGAGAGGUGCAUGGCCGUCGUCAGUUCGUACUGUGAAGCAUCCUGUUAAGUCAGGCAACGAGCGAGACCCACGCCAACAGUUGCCAGCUCGUCCUCCGGGAUGUGGGGACACUGUUGGGACCGCCUCUGCUAAAGAGGAGGAAGGAAUGGGCAACGGUAGGUCAGCAUGCCCCGAAUUAUCUGGGCUACACGCGGGCUACAAUGGGUGGGACAAUGGGUAUCGACACCGAAAGGUGAAGGCAAUCUCCUAAACCCAUCCGUAGUUCGGAUUGUGGGCUGCAACUCGCCCACAUGAAGCUGGAAUCUGUAGUAAUCGUGUCUCAAAAUGGCACGGUGAAUAUGUCCCUGCUCCUU